UAGGAGUGAGUGAAGGAAUGAUCAUCCCAGACUUCCAGGGAACAGCAGUGGCUAAGUUCAUUGAAGCUCUCUUAGAGGUGGAUCUUAUCCAACUGAGCAACGCUCUCUCUGACCCAGAAGUAAUUACUGUGGUGUCACGAGUUGGUGUUCUACCAUUCUUCUGCAAUGCCACAAUACGUGAUGUCAUUUUGGACUUACCUGGAAAAGGGAUCGACACCAGUCUUUUUGAAGAACCAUAUGUACUGUGGAGUGGAACAUAGCCGCUGAGGAGCUUUAUGCAUUUCUCUAUGGACCUCAAGUUGAGCAAUUGCUACGAGAGUUUACCAAUGCUUCCAACGGAUCAUUGAAGCCCUCAGACAUAGACUGGAAUACAGGGGCAGCCAUCUUGGAAACCUUCAUCAAGAACUUGGCCAACGUCACUGGGAUCGUGCAGGUUUAGGAGAACAGUUGGACAUCCAGGAGACGCUGGCAUACUUUGAGAAGCAGUGGAUUACCAAUUUGAUUGGUGUCUACCCAACCAAUGAAACAGACGUUUUAGAUGUUCUGGCCCGACAGCUUAGCAUGGUCUGGAUGCAGCUGGAUGAUUCUCUUGGUGAUAUUCCUGGAUGGGAUCAGUAUAGGACAAACGUCUAUAUCAUUCUAUCAGCCGUUUAACAGAUUGCCAGUGG